rnacentral:rRNA from 1 species
AGGAAAUAGAUACCCGGGUAGUCCACGCCCUAAACGAUGGAUACUAGGCGUAAGAGGUAUCGACCCCUCUUGUGCCGCAGCUAAACGCACUAAGUAUCCCGCCUGGGGAGUACGGCCGCAAGGUUGAAACUCAAAUGAAUUGACGGGGACCCGCACAAGCGGUGGAGCAUGUGGAUUAAUUCGAUACUAACCGAAGAACCUUACCCAGACUUGACAUCGAUCGCAAGCUCUAGAAAUAGGGCCCUCCCCCACAAGGGGACGUGAAGACACUUGUUGCAUGGCUGUCGUCAGCUCGUGCCGUGAGGUGUACGGUUAAGUCCGCCAACGAGCGCAACCCUCGUCCUGUGUUACCAGCAUGAAAGAUGGGAACUCACAGGAGACCGCCGGUGUAAGCCGGAGGAAGGUGGGGAUGACGUCAAGUCAGCAUGGCAGUUACGUCUGGGGCUUCACACAUGCUACAAUGGGCGAAACAAAGGGCCGCGAUACCGUGAGGUGGAGCCAAUCCCAAAAAUACGCCCCAGUUCAGAUUGCAGUCUGCAAC